rnacentral:lncRNA from 1 species
UCCUGUAUGAGCUGGGUAUUCUGUAUAAGCUGUGAUAUCCCUUAUAAACUAGGGUAUCCUGUAUGAACUGGGGUAUCCUGUAUGAGCUGGGUAUCCUUUAUGAACUGGGGUAUCCUGUAUGAGCUGGGGUAUCCUGUAUGAGCUGGGUAUCCUUUAUGAACUGGGGUAUCCUGUAUGAGCUGGGGUAUCCUGCAUGAGCUGGAUAUCGGUUAUGAGCUGAGCUAUUUUGUAUGAACUGGGGUAUCCUGUAUGAGCUGGGGUAUCCUUUAUGAACUGGGGUAUCCUGUAUGAGCUAGGGUAUGCUGCAUGGGCCUGGUAUCCUGUAUGAGCUGGGGUACGCUGUGAGACCUGGGUACCCUGUAAGAUCUGGGGUGCCCUCUGCAAGCUAGGGUAACAAAUGGACCCGUGUGUGUUCUGAGGACUGUAGAGGUUUAUCCCUCUCAGGUAAAAAUCCACAGGAAUAUUCCAGCCCCACAAGUGGCUCUGCUCCAACGAAGUCAUUCAAGAAGCAGGCUCUGUCCAAGUUGUGAGAUCCUUUUUCUGUCUUUCCCUAUGGCAAUGUCUAUCUCUGCAUGGCCAGAAGUUUUCAUCAAGAAAGCAGGGAGAGGGUGUGGAUGAGACACAUCCAUAGGUUAAGAGCUAGGUGUGGCGGUGCAUCGGGCUUCCUCUCCCGUUCCACUGAGGAGUGCGUAGUCACCGACCACUCCCAGCUGUGGAAAGCAGGCACCGCAGUCCAGAUUUGUGAUUGGGAAGAAGGCAGGGCAGAUCUGAUGGAUCUCUAGCAGUUUCCCCUCAGUAACCAUCUCUCUAGUGCCUAAGAAAUGGUGCCUGAUGGUUCAUUCAUUGUAGCAUUAUUUUUAAUACUAGAUUUAUUUUAAAUUCAGACUGUGUUAUAUGUUAUAAUACCUUUAUUUUAUACUGGAAGCAAGCGUCAAUGUAGGAGAGUCUUGAAACCCAGCACCAGAUAGUGGUUGCUAAUCCCAGUCUUCCAUACAAGGAUCCCGGGUUCUGUGAAGAAAUGCUUAAUUCUGGGACUGGGAGGGGAGUAAACAAGAUGAGCCUGGAGCAGAAAGCAAGGAAGUGUCCAAACCAAGCCAAACCAAAACACCCAGGAUGCCGCCAUAAUGGGGACAUUUUAAAGGGACAUAGGAGGCAAUGGAAAGAACCCCCAGUGGCUAAAGCUAGAGCAAUUUGAGCAACAAAGUAAGAUAGCAUUGGAAAAUAACUCAAAGUAUAGAGCCAGCCUAUUCUGAUAGAAAUGACUGAGGAAAUAAAUAAUUGGAGGGAGAGUGACAAGUUUUCUGUGCAGACUUCCAAAUAACUUAUGUAGAUCCCCUGCCCUUGAAGAGGGGAAGCACAGCUCCCCACUUUGGCCACGUGGGCUGCUCAUAAUGACUUCUUCCAAAAGGUAUGGAAAGGGGUAAGGCAGUUUUACAGUGGAGAAACCUGGCAGACACUGCUUCAGCCAGGUCAUCACGUUUAACCAUGCUCGGUUACGUUGACCCGAUGCACCCUUGAUGGGAUGGGAUGAAAGCGCUCGACCUCCAUCACAGGUGCAGUCUCCACUCAACCCACUAUGAGAAAAACAUCAAACUCCAAUUCUUCAGUGUUCCUGCCGGUCCUCCUCAGAACAGCCAAGGUCAAGGUCAUUCAACACAGGAAAGUCUGAGAAUCCAUCACCACCAAGAGGAGUCUAAGGAGAACUGAGGAUUGAGGGCCAUGGGGUGUCCCGGCUGGGGUCCGGGGUAGAGACGGAUUUUAGACGAUCUGCUGUGCAGAUCAUGAACCGUCGCCGCAGUGCCAGACAGACUCUUCAUCCGGACCGGCCGUCCCACUGGGUCCCCUCAGGAAAGCGCAGAAGCCGGGGACCCCAAACCGCGUCCAGCUCCUCCCACCCGCCCUUCUCGGAGCCGCGCACUUGGUAACUUGCGUGUGAAGAACUCACGGCCGUGUUGCCAGGAAACUGCGGGGAGCAGCCUUUGUGGUCUCACAUAUGCGUAACAUAAUAAUAAAUAACGGUUAACGUGA